rnacentral:rRNA from 1 species
GACGAACCGUGCGAACGUUGUUCGGAAUCACUGGGCUUAAAGGGCGCGUAGGCGGGUCAUCAAGUCAGGGGUGAAAUACUCCGGCCUAACCGGAGAACGGCUUCUGAUACUGGUGAGCUCGAGGGGUGUAGGGGCAUGCGGAACUUCCGGUGGAGCGGUGAAAUGCGUAGAUAUCGGAAGGAACGCCGGUGGCGAAAGCGGCGUGCUGGACACCUUCUGACGCUGAGGCGCGAAAGCCAGGGGAGCAAACGGG